GGCGGACGGGUGAGUAACGCGUGGGGAACCUGCCCUGUACCGGGGGAUAGCAGCCGGAAACGGCUGAUAAUACCGCAUAAGCGCACGAAUGUCGCAUGACAUGGUGUGAAAAACUCCGGUGGUAUAGGAUGGACCCGCGUCUGAUUAGCCGGUUGGUGGGGUAAAAGCCUACCAAAGCGAAGAUCAGUAGCCGAGUUGAGAGACUGACCGGCCACAUUGGGACUGAGACACGGCCCAGACUCCUACGGGAGGCAGCAGAU
rnacentral:rRNA from 1 species